GCACGCUCCUGGGAGUGUCCCCGUGCUGAAGCCUUCGCACCUGCUGCUAAUCAUCCGCCAUCUUAGCUGGACUAUUUAACAGAGCGAUCGACCUUCAGUCAGCGCUGGAGUAUUAGCAAAGCUCAGGACCGCGAGCAGAGGAGAGGAAUUUCGAGGGCUAAUCUCCACCUGGGACGAAGGUUACUGGAGAAAACGGGGUGUUUAUUCUCUACUCGGGCACGGACGAAAAGAAGAGGAGAAAACCACCCACUCACCUUUCAUUGUACCUGGA
ensembl:lncRNA